UCCGGUUUGGCACCGGCGGUCCCCCAUGAGUCCCCGACAUGACUCGCUGGCAACAUGGGGCAAGGGUUGCGCUCGUUGCGCCACUUAAGGCAACACCUCACGGCACGAGCUGACGACGACCAUGCAGCACCUGUGCGGGCUCCCGAAGGAGGACCGUGUUUCCACGGCUUCACCCCGCAUGUCAAGCCCUGGUAAGGUUCUUCGCGUCGCGUCGAAUUAAGCCACAUGCUCCACCGCUUGUGCGGGCCCCCGUCAAUUCCUUUGAGUUUUAGCCUUGCGGCCGUACUUCCCAGGCGGGGUGCUUAAUGCGUUAGCUACGGCACCGCAGGAGUCAAAGCCCGCGACACCUAGCACCCAUCGUUUACGGCGUGGACUAC
rnacentral:misc_RNA from 1 species